GAUGAACGCUGGCGGCGUGCCUAAUACAUGCAAGUCGAGCGAACGGACGAGAAGCUUGCUUCUCUGAUGUUAGCGGCGGACGGGUGAGUAACACGUGGAUAACCUACCUAUAAGACUGGGAUAACUUCGGGAAACCGGAGCUAAUACCGGAUAAUAUUUUGAACCGCAUGGUUCAAAAGUGAAAGACGGUCUUGCUGUCACUUAUAGAUGGAUCCGCGCUGCAUUAGCUAGUUGGUAAGGUAACGGCUUACCAAGGCAACGAUGCAUAGCCGACCUGAGAGGGUGAUCGGCCACACUGGAACUGAGACACGGUCCAGACUCCUACGGGAGGCAGCAGUAGGGAAUCUUCCGCAAUGGGCGAAAGCCUGACGGAGCAACGCCGCGUGAGUGAUGAAGGUCUUCGGAUCGUAAAACUCUGUUAUUAGGGAAGAACAUAUGUGUAAGUAACUGCGCACAUCUUGACGGUACCUAAUCAGAAAGCCACGGCUAACUACGUGC
rnacentral:rRNA from 1 species